rnacentral:rRNA from 1 species
AGAUUGAACGCUGGCGGAAUGCUUUACACAUGCAAGUCGAACGGCAGCACGGGACUCAGGCAACUGAGCCCUGGUGGCGAGUGGCGAACGGGUGAGUAACAUAUCGGAACGUACCCAGUCGUGGGGGAUAACUCUCCGAAAGGAGAGCUAAUACCGCAUACGUCCUGAGGGAGAAAGGCGGGGGACCUAAGGGUAACUGAGGGCCUCGCGCGAUUGGAGCGGCCGAUAUCGGAUUAGCUAGUUGGUGAGGUAAAGGCUCACCAAGGCGACGAUCCGUAGCGGGUCUGAGAGGACGACCCGCCACACUGGAACUGAGACACGGUCCAGACUCCUACGGGAGGCAGCAGUGGGGAAUUUUGGACAAGUGGGGGCAACCGUGAUCCAGCCAUUCCGCGUGAGUGAAGAAGGCCUUCGGUUGUAAGCUCUUUCAGCAGGAACGAAACGGUGGUCUUAAGUACGGCUAUUAUGACGUACUGCAGAAGAAGCACCGGCUAACGUACGUGACCAGCACG